AUUGAACGCUGGCGGCAGGCCUAACACAUGCAAGUCGAACGAGUGGCGGACGGGUGAGUAAUGUCUGGGAAACUGCCCGAUGGAGGGGGAUAACUACUGGAAACGGUAGCUAAUACCGCGUACCCUCGGAUGUGCCCAGAUGGGAGUAGCUUGUAGGUGAGGUAACGGCUCACCGAGGCGAAGAUCCCUAGCUGGUCUGAGAGGAUGACCAGCAAAAAUGGAACUGAGAAACGGCCCAGACUCCUACGGGAGGCAGCAGUGGGGAAUAGUGCACAAUGGGCGCAAGCCUGAUGAAGCCAUGCCGCGGGUAGGAAGAAGGCCUUCGGGUUGUAAAGUACUUUCAGCGGGGAGGCGUUACCCGCAGAAGAAGCACCGGCUAACUCCGUGCCAGCCGCCGCGGUAAUAC
rnacentral:rRNA from 1 species